rnacentral:lncRNA from 1 species
AUUGUCCGAGUCCUUGGUGGUGUUCUGACACGUCCAUGCUUUACUGCCCUUGGUCAUUCUGCGGUGUAUCACUAUCUUUUCUAUUCCAUAUAACAGGAGCCCGAUACUAUCUACAUGGUGCUAUGCAAAUGUGCUGCCAUCUGCCACUGCAUACGGAUGAAUUCCCUUUCUCAGUGGAAACUUGAUCAGGGCU